GCACCGUCUGGGGGAGAGAGUUCUCUCAAUCGAGGACCGCCGAAGGCGCAACCCGCCCGGAAUCGCUCAGGCUUCAGGACCGCAGACGGUGG
rnacentral:ncRNA from 2 species